rnacentral:rRNA from 1 species
GACGAACGCUGGCGGCAUGCCUAAUACAUGCAAGUCGAGCGGAGUUGACGAGAAGCUUGCUUCUCUGAUACUUAGCGGCGGACGGGUGAGUAACACGUAGGCAACCUGCCUUUCAGUUUGGGAUAACUUCCGGAAACGGAUGCUAAUACCGAAUACAUCAUCUUCUGGCAUCAGAGAAUGAGGAAAGACGGCGCAAGCUGUCACUGAGAGAUGGGCCUGCGGCGCAUUAGCUAGUUGGUGGGGUAAUGGCUCACCAAGGCGACGAUGCGUAGCCGCCCUGAGAGGGUGAACGGCCAGACUGGGACUGAGACACGGCCCAGACUCCUACGGGAGGCAGCAGUAGGGAAUCUUCCACAAUGGGCGAAAGCCUGAUGGAGCAAUGCCGCGUGAGUGAUGAAGGUUUUCGGAUCGUAAAGCUCUGUUGCCAGGGAAGAACGUCCGGGUGAGUAACUGCACCCGGAGUGACGGUACCUGAGAAGAAAGCACCGGCUAACUACGUGCCAGCCGCCGCCGUAA